rnacentral:SRP_RNA from 1 species
GCCGGGCGCCGUGGCGCGUGCCUGUAGUCCCAGCUACUCAGGAGGCUGAGGUGGGAGGAUCACUUGAGUCCAGGAGUUCUGGGCUGUAGUGCACUAUGCCGAUCUGGUGUCCGCACUAAGUUCAGCAUCAAUAUGGUGACCUCCCAGGAGCAGGGGACCACCAGGUUGCCUAAGGAGGGGUGAACUGGCCCAGGUCGGAAAUGGAGCAGGUCAAAACUCCUGUGCUGAUCAGUAGUGGGAUGGUGCCUGUGAAUAGUCACUGCACUCCAGCCUGGGCAACAUAGCCAGACCCCGUCUCU